GAUGCUUCACUUGAAGAACAAAAACUUUUAUUGAUUGAUGAAACAAAAAAGGCAAGAAGCAACAUGGUGGUCAUACAUGAAAAAAUGGAAUUAACUUUUUCCCUGAGAAGAAAAGAAGUGGUAGAAGAUCAACCAAUGGUUGUAGACUUGCAGCAGAGGUGGCCUGCACUUUUUCUCCAGGAACAGAUUGCUGAGGAAUUCUUCAGAAUCCCGGAUAACGACCUUCUUGAUGUCUUCAGGGCAGCAAUGGACCGAUUUACAACAAAGCUCUUGAAAGUAUACAGAGCUCGAAAAGCUGCAUUUGGAGAGGAUAUGGAACAGCUCCUAGAAAGACUUGAUGAAAGGAUGACCGAUAUUGUUAAUCACAGAAGGACUACUGCUUUGAAAGGCCUGCCUUUGUUUCUUUGAGAGGACCCAAACAAGCUGUUCAAGACAUGCAAAGACAACGAAGAUGGGGCAAAAGGAGUGUCUAUUGCCAUUCUGUGUGUUUUGGAAGAUGAGACCCAGGGACCAUCACCAGAGGUUGUAAACAUUGCUGUUGUGUUGGAGCAGGUCGUCGUUUUGAAAGAUCUCCCAGAUAUUUCUACUGCUCUUGCAUACCUUUUUGGCCUUCUGUAUGCAUUAAACAUGUCCUAUCCUCAAGCUCUUAAGUACACUUUUGACACCAUUCAGAAUGUUUUCAUGGAGCUGGGAUCUGGAUGCACCAAACGUGUACUUUCUCUGAAGAACAAACUGUUGUAAAGAAAAUCAGAACCGUGUUUUUGGAUUCUUUUUGAUGUUCAUUUGUUUUAAGACCUAAAGUUCGCUUGGAUACAAGGUCUGGGGAUUCUUAGUUGGCAUCUCUAUUUCUUGUUACAGAUGUCAAACUGUUCCAAAUGCACCAAACGUGUGCUUUCUCUGAAGAACAAACUGUUGUAAAGAAAAUCAGAACAGUGUUUUGGGAUCCUUUUUGGGAUUCAUUUGUUAAUAGACCUAAAGUGCAGCUUGGAUACAACGUGAUUCUUUUAGGUGACAUCUAUUUUGCUUGUCAUAAGAUGCAUAAGACUGUUCUUAAAGAGUAACUAAACCCUAAACCAACUUUUUUUAGUUAAUGAUCUGUAAGAAUGAUGCUUAAUUAGUGCUGCUCAUUGAUUUUAGUAAGUUUUUUGACAUUUGGAUAUAAAGUGUUUCAAUACUGCAAUAUAUAGUGUAAAAACAUCUGAGUGCUGCCCUCUUCAGGUUGAACGGUGGCUACUGCAGUUGAAUUUUCCUAUUGGAUGUUGGGUUCAAAAAAUUACUCGUGACGUAAACAGAUUCAAGCUCACCACGCCCUGGUUACGAUCUCAACACACACUUGGUACGAGCUUUAGUUCGUCAUCUCUAUCUCCGUUGGGAUCUGCCCACUUUUCUUGCAUUUUUCAAAUAUUGCCAGUGGGUGGAGUCACGCUCUGACCGGGGUUUAGUUACCCUUUAAAGUGUAUAUAAUUGUAAUUUUGUAUUACAUCAUACCAUACCAGGUUAGUGGUUUCAGUAAGCAUGUCUGCUCUUAUAACUGGUUGUUUAAAAUUGAAAUUGUUAAAGGGAUAGUUUAUCCAAAAAUGAAAAUUGUCACAUUUUGUCACUCUUAUUUUUUUACAAAUGUCUUCAUUUUGAGGAACAGGAAGAAAGAUGCUUUGAGGAAUGUUUGUAACCAAACCGUUCAUGAGCCUCAUUCAUUUUCAUAGUAGGAAAAAAUAAUACUUUAGAAAUGAAUGGGGCUCAUGAUCUGUUUUUAGGGCUCAUGAUCUGUUUGGUUACAAACAUUCCUCAAAAUAUCUUAUGUUCAUCAAAUCAAAUACAUUUAUACAGGUUUGUAACAACAUGGGAGUAAGAAAAUGACACAAUUUUCAUUUUUGGGUGAACUAUCCUUUUAAAUAAAACUGUACAAGUGUUUUAAAUGUUGGUUUAAAUGGGGUAAUUUGAAAAGGUUUAGAUUACAGAACAUGUCAAGGCAUUAAAAACACUAUUGUUGGAUAAAAACAAAAAUCCUAAAUUGAUACAAGUUUUAUGCUGUUACAGUUAAGUGAUUGUCUGUAUGCUUCGUGUAUGCAAAAUUUAAGUUCCUACUGAAGAUGGAAUCUAGACUUUUUAAAGUGCAGCUGCUGUGUCACAACUUUAAAAAAAAGUUAAAUGUUGUGAAGAGUUUGGGGUUGUGUAGCAUCUUAUUUCUAAUUGAAAUAAAUUAUGCUAAAAAGAA